rnacentral:rRNA from 1 species
AUACGUAGGUGGCAAGCGUUGUCCGGAUUUAUUGGGCGUAAAGCGAGCGCAGGCGGUUUCUUAAGUCUGAUGUGAAAGACCCCGGCUCAACCGGGGAGGGUCACUGGAAACUGGGAGACUUGAGUGCAGAAGAGGAGAGUGGAAUUCCAUGUGUAGCGGUGAAAUGCGUAGAUAUAUGGAGGCACACCAGUGGCGAAGGCGACUCUCUGGUCUGUAACUGACGCUGAGGCUCGAAAGCGUGGGGAGCAAACAGGAUUAGAUACCCUGGUAGUCCACGCCGUAAACGAUGAGUGCUAAGUGUUGGAGGGUUUCCGCCCUUCAGUGCUGCAGCUAACGCAUUAAGCACUCCGCCUGGGGAGUACGACCGCAAGGUUGAAACUCAAAUGAAUUGACGGGG